AACGCACAUUGCGCCCACCGGUAUUCCGGUGGGCAUGCCUGUUCGAGCGUCAUUAUCCUCCCUCAAACCUCGCGUUUGGUGUUGGGCCGCGUUGCCGUCCGCCUCAGGACCAACAGGCCUCAAAGACAAUGACGGCGUCCGUGGGACCCUCGGUGCAACGAGCUUCUAAGGAGCACGCGCCGAGUCUAAAGGACCUUCCGGGCCGGUCUCCCCUUUUUACUUACAAGGUUGACCUCGGAUCAGGUAGGAAUACCCGCUGAACUUAA
rnacentral:misc_RNA from 1 species